rnacentral:rRNA from 1 species
UACAGAGACUGCAAGCGUUAUUCGGAUUCAUUGGGCGUAAAGGGUGCGUAGGCGGCGCGGUAAGUCGGGUGUGAAAUCUCGGAGCUUAACUCCGAAACUGCAUUCGAUACUGCCGUGCUUGAGGACUGGAGAGGAGACUGGAAUUUACGGUGUAGCGGUGAAAUACGUAGAUAUCUGGAGGAACACCGGUGGCGAAGGCGGCGACCUGGUCCGAGACUGACGCUGAGGCGCGAAAGCGUGGGGAGCAAACAGG